UAACACGUAAGUAAUUUUCCUUUAAGACGGGGAUAGCACUGUGAAAACGGUGGUAAUACCCGAUGUUAUCGGUUAUCUGCAUGGAGGACCGAUCAAAGACAGGGACCGCAAGGCCUGUCACUUGUAGAUGAGCUUGCGUACCAUCAGCUAGUUGGUAGGGUAAUGGCCUACCAAGGCUAAGACGGUUAGCUGGUCUGAGAGGACGACCAGCCACAUUGGGACUGAGACACUGCCCAGACUCCUACGGGAGGCUGCAGUCGAGAAUAUUUAGCAAUGGGCGAAAGCCUGACUAUGCGACGCCGCGUGCAGGAUGACGGUCUUCGGAUUGUAAACUGCUUUUGUUAGGGGAGAAACCUGAAACGCUAAUAACGUUUCAGCUGACGGUACCUGACGAAUAAGCCACGGCAAAGCCUGUGCCAGCAGCCGCGGUAAUACAGGCGUGGCAAGCGUUACUCGGAAUUAUUGGGUGUAAGGGGCAGGUAGGUGGCCCGGUAAGUGAGAGGUGAAAUCCUGCGGUUCAAUCGCAGAACUGCCUUUCAAACUGCCAGGCUUGAGAAAGAUAGAGGAAGACGGAAUUCCCGGUGU
rnacentral:rRNA from 1 species